UGUAAACAUUAAAGUGGCAUUGUUUAAAGUGAGUAGUGAUCCAUUUCUUAAAGUGGCCAAUGAUUUGAGUCUAUGUAGUCAGCAGCCUCUCUUAGUUAGUGAUUGCUGUUUACCAGUCUGAUGGCCUUGAGAUAGAAGCUGUUUUUCAGGCUCCCGGUCCCAGCUUUGAUGCACGGUUCAGAAUAUUAGGGAUCAAUGAAAGAAAGCCUUGUAAACACACUCAUAUUCAUCUCCUUUUCAGCACCAAAUGGUAGACUUAAAAAUACUCUGAUGAUUAUUUAGGGUUAGGGAAGUAUUUAUGAAAAAAAACAGGGAAAAAAAACAGGUUACAGUGCCUCUACGCACUAAAUGUAUUGGUGAAUCAAAAAUAGUGGUUUGAUUCAUCCUGAAAGUUGCCAUAUUCAAUUGUUUAAUUCAUGAAAUAUUGGAAGGUGAGAAAAGGGUACAAUAGAAGUAGAACCAUGUUCUUAUAAAUCCACCUUAAUAAUCCUCACUAAUCAUGGGACUGUGAUGACAACAGUCCAGUCAUCGUGAACCAUGCGCCAGACUCCAGGUUUAAACUGUUAAGUAUGGUCUGCGUUCCAUAAUGAAUCAAAUAGGCUAUAGUCCCAAAUUAUUGCUGGUAAUACGUUAGCCUAAUAUGAUCCACUAGUGCUAGCGAUCCUCAGGAARAGUCACACGAAUGUGACAGAUGAAAGGUAAACUAAUGAUGUYAUGGAAUGACACAAAAUGUAAAGAAACUAACAUUAAAGUGAGUUCAAAAUGUAUUGGUAUAACUGACGAUGGCUACUGAUAGUGGCUAAUAUUUAACACCAUAAGAAUUGGGAGAAAAAAACUGAAAAGUCCAGGCAUAUAAUUAAAACAUUGUAGAAAUCAUAAAUAAACUCGGUAGGUUUGGCACUAUGCUGUCAUUUGUGCAUGGCUACAGAAGCCUAUAGUUUGGGUCUCCACAAUUCAUCCCUGAAGGUUAUAAGGCCAGCAUUUCAUAAAUCUCACUGUGGGAAAAUUGAUGUGCUUCAGUUUUCUGCCAUAUGACUGGUUUUACAUUAAUUUUGUCCCCAGCAAUCAUAGGGUAAAAUAUAUUUACAAUCCCCUUAUCCACACAACUUAAUAAUUUACCUAGCGCUUAUCAAUUUGUAAGUUACAGUGCACGGAGAAUGGUGCUAUUUCUAUUGGAAAAAAUWAAGUAGGCCUAGAUGUUGCUCCACUUAGAACAGACAGGUUGCUCGACAUUAUUCAUUGUUUCAUCACGCAUAAAGGUGGUGGAAUUAUGAGGAAAUUAAACCAAGGUCAGAAUACAGCAUAUCUGUAGACACCCCUCUACCAAACCUACAUUUCUGUGAUCUCCAACCUGAACCCUGAUAGCUGGCUGAAACAUGUGGAGUAGAGGAAAGGGGAUAAAAAUGGAAUUAAGUUCCAAUUGCGUGCGUAUAACUUGGGUCUGAAUCGGCCCCAUGGUGUUGAUCUAUUUAUUCUAUUAAUUUUAGAUUGUGGGAUAUAGCUGGAUCUAAAAACAAAACUAAAUGGCCUGGGARGUGGACCCCUUUUUGGAUCUGAAAUGUUACAAAAUUACCCUUUAAUAUUUGGUAGAGGGAAAAACAUGUGUCCCCUUUCCUUCCAGGUUCCAACUUGCUACGGAGAUCUCCACGGAGCGAUAUGCACUGAUCUUCGGAGCAAACAACUUUGGGGCUUUGGUGCUUCAGACUAUCAUCACAGCAGGUGGGCAUCAUCCCACAGUUCACCAUUUAUGGAAGCUACUUCUCAGACAUCGCUGUCAUUAUCUUUCUGAGGGGUGUGUACAUGAUUAUGACAGGGCGGCAAAGCAACAGAGACUCCACCACUGCAGAGGAGCCUCCAAGUCUGAAAGACAGUGAGUGACACUGGCCCUGAACAAAGACUCUGAGCUGAAGAAACUGACCACUGGGCCAUGUUCGGUAGGCACGGAAUGGGAGAAAACGUUUUGAAACGGGGAGUUUCUACCUGAAUYUGUCCAAAAAGAAAGCACAUUUUUGUUUUCGGUUGCACCAUUUUGUGGUACAUUGUGCCCUGCUGAAUUAAAGACACUGAUGACAGUCA